rnacentral:rRNA from 1 species
UACAGAGGUCUCAGGCGUUGUUCGGAUUCAUUGGGCGUAAAGGGUGCGUAGGCGGCGCGGUAAGUCGGGUGUGAAAUCUCGGAGCUUAACUCCGAAACUGCAUUCGAUACUGCCGUGCUUGAGGACUGGAGAGGAGACUGGAAUUUACGGUGUAGCGGUGAAAUGCGUAGAUAUCGUAAGGAAGACCAGUGGCGAAGGCGGGUCUCUGGACAGUUCCUGACGCUGAGGCGCGAAAGCUAGGGGAGCAAACGGG